UACGUAGGGUCCAAGCGUUAAUCGGAAUUACUGGGCGUAAAGGGCGCGUAGGCGGGCCUGAAAGUCAAGGGUGAAAGCCCCCGGCUCAACCGGGGAAGUGCCCCUGAUACUUCAGGCCUCGAGGGAGGUAGGGGCGUGCGGAACUUCCGGUGGAGCGGUGAAAUGCGUAGAUAUCGGAAGGAACACCGGUGGCGAAAGCGGCGCGCUGGACCUCUUCUGACGCUGAGGCGCGAAAGCCAGGGGAGCGAACGGG
rnacentral:rRNA from 1 species